CUCAAGAUGUUAAUUAAGUCUAAAUUUUCCAUUGUUUCCUUUAGGAUCUCUGUUGCUUUGUUGGUUUUUCUGCCUAGAGGAUCUGUCCAUUGAUGUGAGUGGGAUGUUAAAGUCUCCUACUAUGAUUGUAUUCCCAUCAAUUUCUCCCUUUAUAUCUAGGAGAUAUUAAUAUCUCCCUUAAUAUUUGUCAUAUGUAUCUAUGCUCCUAUAUCUGGGGCAUAUAUGUUGAUUAUAGUAAUAUCCUCUUCUUGAAUGGAUCCUUUAAUCAUUAAAUAGUGUCCUUCUUUGUCUUUCUUUAUGGCCUUCAUUUUAAAGUCUAUUUUGUCUGAGAUGAGUAUUGCAACUCCUGCUUUCCUGUCAUGCCCAUUGGCAUGGAAUAUUUUUUCCCACCCCCUCACUUUCCAUCUAUAUGUGUCCUUUGUCCUAAGGUGAGUUUCUUGUAGGCAACAGAUGGAAAGUUUUUGCUUUUUUAUCCAAUCAGCCACUCUGUGUCUUUUGAUUGGAGCUUUCAGUCCAUUGAAAUUUAAGGUGAUAAUUGAUAGAUGAUUAUUUAUUGCCAUUUUAAACCUCAUUUUCCAGUUGAUUCUAUGAUUUUUCAUUCUUUCUUUUUUUUUUUGUUUUUGUUUUAUGGUCUCCAAUUAUUUUCUGCUUGAGUAUUUUUCCUUUCAUUUUUUGUGACUGCAAUGUUUGGUUUUGGGUUGUGCUUGCCCUGUUUUUCAAGUAUGUUAACCCCUUUCUAUAAUUUUGUGUUUUAGCCUGAUAGUCCUGUAGGUUCAAACACUUCAUUACCAUAAUAAAAUUUAAAAGAAGAGAAUUUAAAAAAGAAUCCAUUUAUUUCCUUACUUACCUUGCUCACAUUUUAUGAUUUUGAUGUCUCUUUUUUUCUUUUUAUUUUGUUUUAAACAUCUUCAUGAUUAGAUCUGCAUGCUGGCUUAUUUGAAUGACUGCUCUCUGAUUGUGGUUUCCUCCAUCCUAUUCUUCCUCUUCUUUUUUUUUUUUUUUUGAUUUAUAGAAGCCCUUUCAAUAUUUCUUUUAGAAUGGGUUUUGUAUUACUGUAUUCUUUUAGCUUUGUUUGUUGGAAAAAAUUUUUAUUUCCCCUUCUAUUUUAAAUGAUAUUCUUGCUGGAUAAAGUAUUCUAGUUUACAUACUUUUUGUUUCAGCACUUUUAAUAUCUCUUGCCAUUCCCUCCUGGCCUGUACGGUUUCUGUAGAGAAAUCAGAUGAUAGCCUUAUGGGGUUCCCUUUGCUAUUCUCUUGCUGCCUUUAUGAUCCUCUCUUUAUCAUUUAUUUUUCUAUUUUUAUUGUAAUGUGUCUUGGUAUGGGUCUAUUUGGAUUCAACUUUGGGGCCCUCUGUGCUUUCUGUAUCUUGAAAUCAGUAUCCUUUAGAUUUGGGAAGUUUCCAGUGAUAAUUUCUGCAAAUAUAUUUUCAAUCCCCUUUUCUUUUCCUUCUCCUUCUGGAAUUCUUAUUAUGUGUACAUUAGCCUGCUUUAUAUUAUUCCAAAGGUCUCUUAUAUUGCUCUCAUGGUUUUUUUUGUUUGUUUGUUUUUUUCUUUCUUUCUUUUUUUUUUGUUUUUUUGUUUUUUUGUUUUUUUGCCUUUUCUAGGACCGCUCCUGUGGCAUAUGGAGGUUCCCAGACUGGGGGUCUAAUCAGAGCUGGCCUAUGCCAGAGCCACAGCAACGUGG
ensembl:lncRNA